CCAUGCAUAUAUAUACUUGACUCUGUUGCAACAAAUGCUGUUAUUGGCAAAGCCACUUUGAUAUAGACAAGACUCUUCACUCUUUUAUUCUUUCCGAGAUUUUUCUCUCUGGGGUGUGUAUGUCAGAGGCCUGAAAUGAAAGUGAAAGUAGACUUACUUCUUUCCGCAUUUCUGUCUCUUCUUCCUUCCCUCUUUUCAACCCAAUCACCAAAUAUUUAUGUUCUGAGCACUGGGCUAGGUGCCAGGGAACAAGAGAUGAGUAAGAUACAGUCCCUGAUCAAGGGCUUUCCCAUCUAGUGGGAAAGACAGAAUAAAUAAAUACAAGAAAUAAAGUGUUGUAGGCUCUCUGAUAAAAGUAUGUACCUCUAGGGAAAAGGUAAGAAGCAGUUAUAUGUAGGAGGAUCUGACAAGUUUACAGGUAAAAUGAUGGUUGCAAUGAUUAUGAGCUUGUACUUGCCAAGUAGACGAAGUGAGAAGAGUGUUCCAGAAAAAAGCAGCAGCCCAAGAAAAGUAAAGAGAAUCAAAAUGAUAAGUGAAUGCAGGAUGGUUUAGAUAGUUUUGGUGUGGCUGGAGUAUGAGGUGAAUGUGGGCAUAGUAAAGAGAGAGACACCAAAGAGAUAGACUGAGAUGGUUUUGAAUAGCUUUGACAUUUUAGAAAUCUGGAGUUUGUGCUAAAGAGAAAAGAAACCUAUAGAAGGAUUUCUUGUUUAUUUUAGUGAUAUCCUUCUUGCAGCCAAGUGGAAGACAGUUUGCAGAGAGGCCCAUGCAGAAGGAAGGGUGAGGAGGGAGACUUUCAAUAAUUCAAGCAAAGGUGAAGAUCUAGACUAAGGCAGUAGCUAAAGCAAUAGAGAUAGAGGAAUAAGUGCAAAAUGAAGAUUAUUUAAACAGGCUUUAUCAGUAUCAACUUAGUGGAAAGCAAAGGGGCUAUCAGGAAUUGUUUUUUCCUGUGUCCACCAAGAGUAGAAGGCAAGUAGCCUGAAUUCUCUACUUUUUAAAUAAUAAUUGGUUGUGGUUCAGUGAUCACUUCUUUAUAUAAAAGACAAGAAAAUAUUUUCUCUGUAAUUUCUCUAUAUGGCAGGGUGUCUUUAGGUGGUUUUUCUUUCUCUCUCUCUCUCUCUCUUUCUGUUACUUUUUCUUGUUGCUGUUCGUAUCUUACAGAGUUCAUGCUGGCAGAGGGAGUUUGGGCUAAUUUGGAAAAAAAAAAGAAUUGACUUCUUUGUAUAUAUAUUCAUUCACUCAACAUCUACAUAGCAUCUGCACUGUGUCCCUGGGGAUAUGAAAAUAAAAUGAUCUGAUCCAUGGCCUUGACUUAAAGACUUUACACAUAAUGGAGAGAACAUAUAGGAACUGCUACUGAAUAAUAAUAAAAUAACCUCCAUAAUGGAGGUAUGUAUGAACUGCAGAGGAACACAGGAGAAAGUAAAUGCUUGAGGCCAGAAUUGAAAAAUGAAUAGUUUGCCGUGGGGAGGGGAAGCCAGACAGAAUGAAGACAUCUUAUAUUCAAGAUUUCAGACAAAUAAGUGAAGUAAGAACAAAUGUUUCAGAAUGACCUGGGGGAAAAUGGUAAGAGAUGAAGCCACUUAAAGUAGGUAGGCAGGAGCCAGGUUAUGGAGGGCUCUUCAAGACAAAAUAUUCAAGAGUUAUGACGUGAUCAGAACUGCAUGUGCAGAGAAAAGAAAAGAACUAGCAUGAGUCAGGUAUGUGCUAGCACUGUGAUGAGUGCCGUAGGUAGAGUAUCUCAGGCUGAUGAGUGAGAAGAACAGAGUUUUGAAACUAAACAAACCUGAGUUCAGAUCCUAGAUUUUCUUAAUUUUAAGAGUUCAAGUUCUUCAAAUAUCUAUCCUCUUCAAAAUGUUUAACAUGUAAUUUGUAUAGUUAUUAUAAAGAACAGAUGUUAGCUGUAAAGUGUAUAACAUAUAGAUGUAAUUAUAUUAUUACUACCAAGAAACACUGUUAGAGUUGAAAUUCAAACCCAUGCUUGAUUCCAAAGAAUACAUAUGACACAAGCCUUACUGAAUCAGAAUGUUGCAGCUCCUUGGACUGCUUGGUUGAGCAGUGGGUAUAUAACUCAUUCCGAGUCACCAGUUACCCUUGAGAAUUAUAUGGGAGACAAGGUCUAUUUUUCUGAUAGAUUUAGAGCAAGGAGAAUGUGAACCUAGAAAUCCUUGUCAUCUUUUGCCACCAUGAAGCAUGAACUGGCCAGGAAGUCAAGCCAGAAUCGAGGGAGACAGAGUCAAGAAAGUGAUAGUAAGUCCUGGUUCAGUUGGAUGAACCGAAGUUAAAUGAAGUUAGCUCUGACUAUGAUUUUUUUUUGUUUUUAGGUAAAGGAGCUAAGUAAUAAUAACAACCACAAUAAUAAAACUAACUUUUGGCUUAACUCAGCAUGAAUUGAGUUUUCAGUCACCUGUAUGCAAGAAUACUGAAUAAUAAAAUUGGAAUUAGCAACAUAGAAGCUGCCUUUGGAACAGAAAUACUGUAGGGGUGGGAAGGACUGUAAUCAAUAAGGGAAAGGACUAAAUAUUCGAAAGUAGAGACAGUUCAUGUAGAUCGCUUGUUCUAGAAGCUGAGCUAUUAAAAAAAAAAACUUUUUUAAAGGAGAUGGUGCGGUAGGUGGAUUUUAGGCAGAGAUGAGGAAGUCUUCAUUCCUAAGAUGGGAGAGCCUUGAGCAUGUUUGUAGAUUAGGGAAAGAUGCCAGUGGAAAGGAAAAGGUUGACAGUGCUGAGAAGAGAAGGGGUAAUUAAUGGAGGAAAGUCCAGGCAGAGACAGGGUAUGAUGAAUAUUUCUAUUGCCAUGAAAUCUCUAGUAAGGUCUAGUGUCUGCUCAGAUGGUAAAUUCUACUAAAUAUGUGCAAUUUUUUAUUAAAAAAACAUUUUUUUACUUCUUCAGCAUGUCUAACUGUAUUUUUUAUGUCUUCUCUAAUCUCUCCUACUUUCCUAAAUCCUAUGACGUCUUAGAACGCCCCACUCUCCCACUAAAAACAAACAUGCAAAUAAACAGAACUAAAAAGUCCCUAUUCAGACCGGUGGAGAUUUUCACAGCCAAAGAAUACUUCAGGGUAACUGAAGCAAUCUCAGAAGAGUCAUUUGGAGAAUAACCUUGACACUAGGUUACUGUGGAAUUGAAGUUUCCACAAACUGUUAACAUCUCCGCCGUGUGACUAGAAUGAUGUCAGUAGAUCCAGUGGUUGAGGCCGACCGUGAACAGCGAAGGGAUGUCCUCUAAUCGCAGUGGAAGUGACGGGCUCGUUUGGCUUUGACUUUUAAAAAUUGCCAGAGAAGAGUGUUCUUUGUCUCCUGCUGCUUGAAAGGAGCUGGAAGCUGUAGUGUCCUGCCCUGAAGAGCUUUUUCUGAAUGUGAUUUUUUCUGUCUCUGUCUUCAGAGUUGACCACGCAGAAAUCUAAUAAAGAAUGUCAAAGUGCUGCCUCCACGAUAUGUGCACAAAGAAGAGGUCAUGUGACACACACAGUGAGAUGGUGGCUAGCUGCGGGCCAAGAGAGGAGGACUGAGAAUAAAACCUACCUUGCUGUCACCUUGAUCUUGGACUUUCCAGCCUCCAGAA